rnacentral:siRNA from 1 species
AUACUAGAUUUUAACCCGCGGUAU